rnacentral:rRNA from 1 species
AGCAGUGGGGAAUUUUCCGCAAUGGGCGCAAGCCUGACGGAGCAAUACCGCGUGAGGGAGGAAGGCCCUUGGGUUGUAAACCUCUUUUCUUAGGGAAGAAGACAAUGACGGUACCUAAGGAAUCAGCCUCGGCUAACUCCGUGCCAGCAGCCGCGGUAAUACGGAGGAGGCAAGCGUUAUCCGGAAUGAUUGGGCGUAAAGCGUCCGCAGGUGGCGAUUCAAGUCUGCUGUCAAAGCUCCUGGCUCAACUGGGAAGUGGCAGUGGAAACUGAAAAGCUAGAGUGCGGUAGGGGUAGAGGGAAUUCCCGGUGUAGCGGUGAAAUGCGUAGAGAUCGGGAAGAACGCCAGUGGCGAAAGCGCUCUACUAGGCCUGCACUGACACUCAGGGACGAAAGCUAGGGGAGCGAAUGGGAUUAGAUACCCCAGUAGUCCUAGCCGUAAACGAUGGAUACUAGGCGUGGCUUGUAUCGACCCGAGCCGUGCCGGAGCUAACGCGUUAAGUAUCCCGCCUGGGGAGUACGCGCGCAAGCGUGAAACUCAAAGGAAUUGACGGGGGCCCGCACAAGCGGUGGAGUAUGUGGUUUAAUUCGAUGCAACGCGAAGAACCUUACCAGGGCUUGACAUGUCCGGAAUCUUAGGGAAACCUGAGAGUGCCUACGGGAGCCGGAACACAGGUGGUGCAUGGCUGUCGUCAGCUCGUGUCG